AAGCACGUAGGUGGGUUUGUAAGUCAGACGUGAAAGCCUUCUGUUCAACGGAAGAAUUGCAUCUGAAACUACAAACCUUGAGUGUAGGAGGGGAGAAUGGAACUUCUGGUGGAGCGGUGAAAUGCGUAGAUAUCAGAAGGAACGCCGGCGGCGAAAGCGAUUCUCUGGCCUAUUACUGACACUCAGUGUGCGAAAGCUAGGGGAGCAAACGGGAUUAGAUACCCCGGUAGUCCUAGCCGUAAACGAUGGGCACUAAGUAGAGGGGUUUU
rnacentral:rRNA from 1 species